rnacentral:rRNA from 1 species
UACGGAAGGUGCGAGCGUUAAUCGGAAUUACUGGGCGUAAAGGGCGCGUAGGCGGUUCGGUAAGUCCUGUGUGAAAUCCCUCGGCUCAACUGAGGAACUGCACGGGAGACUGCCGGGCUUGAGUUCGGGAGAGGGAAGCGGAAUUCCGGGUGUAGCGGUGAAAUGCGUAGAUAUCCGGAGGAACACCGGUGGCGAAGGCGGCUUCCUGGACCGACACUGACGCUGAGGCGCGAAAGCUAGGGAGCAAACGGG